rnacentral:misc_RNA from 1 species
CUGUGUGCCGUGGGGACGCCGCGCCGAAAGGCGUGGGCGCCCUACAUCUGGCCACCCGUGUCUACCUUACCUCUGUUGCUUCGGCGGGCCUGACCCCUCGGGGUCUGCCUUGCGGGUGCGCGUACCCACGCGCCCCCGAAGGCUCGCGCCCGCCGGGGGACCUCUUGAAUUCUGGUGAAUCAGUGUCGUCUGAGCAUUUAGCAAAUUGUUA